GAUUAGGAUUUGGUUAGGAUUUGGUUUAGGAUUUGGUUUAGAGUUUUAUUUAGGGUUUAGGAUUUAUAGUUAGGAUUUAGGAUUCAGGGUUAGGAUUUAGGAUUUGAUUAAGAUUUUAUUUAGGAUUUAGGGUUGGGAUUAGGAUUUGAUUUAGGAUUUAGGAUUUGGUUGGAGUUUGGUUUAAGGUUUAUUUAGGGUUUGAUUUAGGAUUUAGGAUUUUAUUAGGAUUUAAGAUUUAAUUAAUUUUGGCCUAAAUUUUGAAUGAAGUUCAAUAGGAUUUUAAUUAGAAUUAAAUUAAGAUUGAAUUGAGAUAUAUUUGAGUGAUAUUUGUGAUCAUUUUAAUAUUUCUUUAAGAAUUCUUAUUGUUUGUUUGAAAUCUCUUUGAGAUUUUUUUGAAUUUGAUUAAG
rnacentral:lncRNA from 1 species